rnacentral:sRNA from 1 species
UUGACCAUUCUGGAUAAUUAAGUCCCCUAUGAGUGUAUAGAAGAGGUACAGUAGGGGCAGAAGCAGUGCAAGUAUCUCCAUAUUGCUGCCCCAAUGUGCCUCCUGCACCCUGCCCAUGAGCUAUCACCUGCAGUUGUAAAAGAACAGUUCAGUACCCCUGGCCCUUUCAUCUCUAGGAAUUU